UUCACACUCCCACCAGCAGUGGAAAGAGUUGCCUGGAAUGCAAAUGUCGGUGUUCUACCCUCAGCACCUCACCUGUCUUUAAAGAGAUGCUGAAAGAUGAGGAGAUGAAAUGACACAGGCGUGCCCAGGGCAGAGGUGGACAGUGCCGAGAGAAGAUGGCCAUUUCCACGCCGAGAAGACGGCUCUUAGGAGACCUCACUGCCAAUACCCUGUGUCAGAGUCUGCAAAACUGAACAAAUAGUCCUGACGCUUAAGGCAACCUGGAGUACACUGUCAUAGCAACCUUAGUGACUAAGAUACACAGCGGUACCUGGGCUAUUGAAUGCUUGCGUGCAACCAAUGUGGUUCACAAACAGAAGCGUUCGGCGACAUAUUGUUUCUCUUUGUGAACUCUGCAUCGGGUGGUGAACACGACCGCAGCCACUGCUGCCGCACCAACAUGGAUGUGGCCAUCUUCUCCAGAAUCAUGAUUACAGGAAGCCGCUUGGCCACCCGGCUCUAAAGGACUCCUCGCUGCGCGGUGACCGCGAGACCGCGCCGGCCUUGGGUGGCGGCCGCUCCGUGCACGCCACUGACCCUCUGGAUUCACCCCCUCCCGGGGGCGACCCCAGCGCUCCCACUAUUAUUUGUGACAGGAGAGGAGUGGGUCAGCCUGACUGCGCCAGGGCACCCCGACAUUCGGCCAGACAGGACCGGGCUCUGCGGGCGCUGGGGUGGCGCGAGCGGGGCGCGGCUGCCCCAGGACGUGUGCGCGGCCGCGGUCGGGCCAGGCCCUGCACCGCUCCCAGCCGCCUUCCUGUGCGGUGCCAAGGCAGCCUCUGUUCUCCUGUCUGGAUAACCAGGUGCCACUUUUUUUUUUUUUUUUCAACUUUUUUUUCUUCCCGUACCAGGAAUCGAACUGAUGACCUCGCGCUUGCCAGGCAGGCGCUGUGCCGCUGAGCUAAAUCCCCAGCCCUUUUUUUUCAACUUAAUCAUGGGUUUGGGCUCUGCUUUUUACGUCUCCUUCCCUGUGAAACACUUGGUAAAAUUCUCCAAUAAUAAAACAAAAGAAAGUUA